rnacentral:lncRNA from 10 species
CUGAGCCAGAUAUGUUUACCCUAAGAGGACUCACGCUUAUCAUCCAGCACAAUGGUGUCCUCUUACUAGAAUUAGCAUCUGCUGGAUCACUGACUGCAUUUCCACAGAACACAGAACAAAGCGGUUAAGAUCCAGGGCAUUGAGCCACGCCUUAAAUCGAAGCAUUGUCCACCUUCUAACCCCAAGCAGACACCAAGAGGGAGCCAACAACAGGGAUCCUGAGAGGCAAAGGGAGUCCAAGGAGCUAUGGGGAGAACUUUCCAUCUUUGGGGAUGAGAAUGUGAAGCAUCAAUUUAUGUGAAAACUACUGCUUGAUUAAAGACAAGAUUUUUGAAAGCCAUCCUGUAAAACACCCUGUCCCACACAUUGUUAAAGGUGAGAUCACGUGAUGAUGGAGAAGGUCACCAGAGCCAGGCACCUUGUCCACACACAGGGCUUCCUUCCUCCAUGACUUAACCCAGAGAUGUAGACGGCGGGGUCAACAUUAAAUACCACAAACAGGCAAAAGAGCUUCAGACAGAAGGAUCAUCUUCCUGAAGACAAAAUAAUCAUCAUCCUUUGAGGGCAAAGUGGGCAACGUUAUGGGUAUCUUUUGUUUUGGAAUGGGACUCUACACUAUGGGAUUUCUAGUGGAGAGGACAGUUACCAGAGUCAGCACUGGAGGAACUUGUUUGGAAUUGAGCCUUGAUUCUGAAAAGAAAGUAUCAGAGGGCAGCAUUUGAACUGGCAUUUAAGGUGUCAACCAGGGGGAAUUUGGUGCCGACCAGUAAAAGGGGAGAAUCAAAAACAGAAGCUCCAUCACCAGGGACAGGGCCAGACUCCUGACUAGAAACUCAGUGGAUGUGCUGAAUCAUUCGGAUACUUUCCAGAAAAUUAUUUUACCUACUCAGAAGGCUGGGCAUCAGCCAAAACUGUCUGGAAAACCACAAGGAAAGACAUUUCCAUGAAGUAACUAGAGUUUUGGGCUUCUACUCUAGAGGAAUAUAAGAGGAACUUUCUUUAAAGAGUAUGCAGGUGGUUCCUUUUAAGCUCACCUGUCUGGUUUUUCAAACAGAUCAAGGGGUGAUGGCAGGGAAACGUCUCCCCUGGAAAUCUCACCCCUCCAUUUGCUAAAGAGAAGGAGCUUCAAUCCCUUGACAGGAUGAUGAAACAAUAAUAAACUGAUGUGACCAAGUCUCAUGCCAGCAGUCCUACCUGUGGCCCACCCUUCUCGUGGCCAACAAUGGCUUUUCUUAAAUAAAUAAAAAUCAAGAUUUGUACCACUCCUGCUGUAAGCUCUUCAGUGGCUCAUGGAUGAAUGAACAGGAUCACCAUUGGCACACAAGUCCCCCCACAGAUCACCUACUCAUCUUUCCACCCCAGCUUUUGCCAUUCUCUCCCCAUCCCACAAAUCCAUUGCCAUCCAAAGAUAAGAAAGAUACCAGAUAGGGCUUCCCAGUUGCAGCAGAGUGGACUGUCUUUACACUGGAGGGCUAUUCUUCCACAAAGAAGUCUUCUCCCCCGUGGGAAGGGAUUGGAGUACUUCUCCUAGGCACUAUGUGAGCAGAUGGUUGAGAAAUGAGCUAGCCCUUGAGCUUCUGCAGCAAGGGAGGGUCCCAUCAUGAGAGCAGAUGGUAUGGGAAAUGCACCAGUUUGGAAUUGGGAGGAACAAGUUUCAGGCCUGACUCAGAUACAGAUACUUGCCAUCAUCAGUAUGCCCUUGAAUGAACUAUAAAGUGUCUCUGAACCUCUGUUGUCUCCUUUGCAGUGUUGAGCCAAGGUUAUAUACCACACAGGGAUUGAGGAAGAGGAAUUAAGGCAGCGUACAUGGAAGUGGCUGGCUCAGUCAUCACUGGCUAAACGCUACUUGAAUUCCAUUCUAAAACUCCACAUAGAAAGGCAAUUUGACAAAAUUUGAUCAUCCCUUCACCCCAAUUAUCACCCCGUGAACUUUUCUUCCAUUUAUCACCCUUGGAUUUCGUAGCUCGGCACACACAGUCUUUCUCCCUCUCUCACUUCUUUCUUUCUCUCCUUUUUUCUUCUUCUGUUAAACCUAAGAAAUUCUAAUGCUGAAGAGGGUUUUCUUAAGGUGAUUCUCCUGGAAAAGAUGACUCUUUAAGCAAAAAUUCAGACUUUCUCUAGAGUGACCGAGACAUGUAGGUGGCGGUAGCAAUACAGGCUGACCUUCCAGCAUGGUCCUGGGAACCACAGGUCAGCUCUGCUGCAGAUGCCCAGACAGCGUGUCUCUUCCUGAAACAAAUCGACUUCCACAUGGCUCUUCUGAAGACUAAGAUGGCCACGUCUAUCUAAUGAACCCAUCCUGCCACCUCCAUUUGGGUCCUGGAAAUGGACCGAGCUCUUUUGUGGUUCCCUGUACAUUUCAGCGUGCAUCUUUAGCUAUGAGAGGUCAUUUGCUGCCAGUUCUGUUGGCUUUAAUGAGUCUCCUGCCUUGGACCUGGAGAGAGAAGUGGGAAAAUGUGAUUCUCAUGCCCAGGCCUGGCCUCCCUGAACUCACUUUUCCCAUUAAGCUUUGACACUGGACCAUGCCUUUGUUGGCAGAGGAGGUUUUUAUGGAUCUUAUGGGGGAUGCACAAUGGAAACUGGAAUUAAACUUGUGUUUCUCUUUUUUCUCUCUCUUUUCCUUGAUUGGGUUUUGACAGAAAUUAUUUGACUGUUUCCUUUUCACAUGGACAGAAUCGAGUAUGUUCUUUCAACGUUAUCCAAACCAUCAUGCUCAAAUGGAAAGGAAAGUUCUGUGAGGUUAAAUGGCAGAGACAUGAUGUCUACAGUAGGAACAAAGCUGCUUAGAUCCUUCCAGACGCUGUAAAUUCCCCUAACAUAAAAGACAAGAGUACAGACUCUGAGGUCAGAGGGACUCACGCCCAAAUCCCUUCCCCACCUCUCACAAGUUACUUAUUCUCUUUGAGUCCUGAUUUUCUCACUGGUCAAAUGGGAAUAAAAAUCCCCUCCUGGGCCGGGCAUGGUGGCUCACGCCUGUAAUCUCAGCACUUUGGGAGGCCGAGGCGGGUGGAUCAGGAGUUUGAGACCAGCCUGAUCAAAAUGGUGAAACCUCGUCUCUACUGAAAAUACAAAAAACUUAGCCAGGUAUGGUGGUGCACACCUGUUAUCCCAGCUACUCAGGAGACUGAGGCAAAAGAACCACUUGAACCCGGGAGGCAGAGGUUGCAG